UGAGUAGAGUGGCGCACGGGUGAGUAACGCGUGGAUUAUCUACCUACUGGUACGGGACAACAGUUGGAAACGACUGCUAAUACCGUAUACGCUGGUAACGGGAAAGGGGGCCUCUUCUUGAAAGCUCUCGCCAGUAGAUGAGUCCGCGUUUCAUUAGCUAGACGGUGGGGUAACGGCCUACCGUGGCAACGAUGAAUAGCAGGCCUGAGAGGGUGGCCUGCCACACUGGGACUGGAACACGGCCCAGACUCCUACGGGAGGCAGCAGUGGGGAAUAUUGCGCAAUGGACGAAAGUCUGACGCAGCGACGCCGCGUGGAGGAUGAAGGUUUUCGGAUCGUAAACUCCUGUCAAGAGGGAAGAAACCUAUUAUGAAUAAUACUCAUAGUAAUUGACGGUACCUCUAGAGGAAGCACCGGCUAAUUCAGUGCCAGCAGCCGCGGUAAUACUGAAGGUGCAAGCGUUAAUCGGAAUCACUGGGCGUAAAGCGCUCGUAGGUGGCUUUGUAAGUCAGGUGUGAAAGCCCACGGCUCAACCGUGGAAUUGCACUUGAUACUGCAUCGCUAGAGUAUAGGAGAGGGAAGUGGAAUUUCUGGUGUAG
rnacentral:rRNA from 1 species